rnacentral:rRNA from 1 species
GUGGCAGCCGCCGCGGUAAUACGGAGGUGCAAGCGUUAUCCGGAUUCAUUGGGUCUAAAGGGUGCGCAGGCGGAUACUUAAGUCAGUGGUGAAAUCCCGGGGCUCAACCCCGGAACUGCCAUUGAUACUGAAUAUCUGGAAUACGGUUGAAGUGGGCGGAAUGUAGCAUGUAGCGGUGAAAUGCAUAGAGAUGCUACAGAACACCGAUCGCGAAGGCAGCUCACUAAGCCGAUAUUGACGCUCAGGCACGAAAGCGUGGGGAGCGAACAGGAUUAGAUACCCUGGUAGUCCACGCCGUAAACGAUGAUAACUCGUUGUUGGCGACACACAGUCAGCGACUAAGCGAAAGCGAUAAGUUAUCCACCUGGGGAGUACGAUCGCAAGGUUGAAACUCAAAGGAAUUGACGG